GUGGAAAGAUGGAUACAAUCUCAGAGGCUGCAAUUCCAUUCCCACAUAGAGCUGGGAACUUGUAUAUGUUGUUCCAAGGGGUAUACUGGGAAGGAAAAACACCAGCUGUGACACAAAGGAGUCGCUUGAAAUGGCUCAGAAGCUUAUCGGCCUACUUAACUCCUUAUGUUUCAAAGAAUCCUAGACGUUCUUAUGUGAACCAUAAUGAUCUUGAGUUGGGAGUAGCCAACAAAACCUAUGAAGAAGCAAGCAUUUGGGGUACUAGAUACUUCAAGAGUAAUUUCAAGAGGUUGGUCCAAGUAAAGAACAAGAUUGAUGCUGAAAAUUUCUUCUGGCAUGAGCAAAGUAUUCCUACUUUUUCGUCAGUAUCUUAGAUGUGGACUUCUUUUGGCUUUCAUAGGGUUUAUCAUUUUCUAUAUCUAAUCAUAUUGAAUAAAUAUCCCAAGGGAUUAAUAUAUAUAUAUAUAUAUAUAUAUAUAUAUAUAUAUAUAUAUAUCAUAUAAUAUAUAUAUAUAUAUAUUAAUAUAAAUGACAUUUAUAGAUCUUAUGAUUGUCAUGCAAAGCAAUGAAAACUCCAAUCUAUUUAUCUGUUUAUCUUCUCUUCUUACUGUGAAAACUCCAAUCUACUCAAAGUCAGCUUCUCAUUUCAAUUAUAAAAAAUAGUAAUGAAGAUCUACUCUUUUAUAUCCUCCUUUAUGUCGUUCUUCGUCUAUUUAAGCCGGAGCAUUAUUACCACAUUUAUUUUUUAUAGACUCUCUCACAUGAAAGUAUAACUUACUUUAUUCUCAUAUGAGAAAAUAUCAUGUGAAAACAUGUAAAAAUAUCAAAUUCCAUUAAUCAAUUUAUAUGAAUGAAGUUUAUCGUCUUUGCAUGUGCAUUUAAUACACUAUUGUUAAAAACGUUCAGGAAAUUAAAAGGAAGCAAGAUAGAAACUAGAAAUGAAAGUGCCAACUCCUGUUAUUACAGCUGGUAUCUCUGACUUCAAUUCAGUCUUAAACAGUAUACAAUGUGAUCUUCAGCCAAAAUGUCAACAAUAGCAGCCCCCCUUUUUACUUUUUAUUCAGUUCUAUAACUUUGGGGAUUCCCCAUCUCCCAAUUAAAUAUUCUAAGAAAGAUUUACAUCAAAUUCAACACAAAAAACAUUGACUACUAUUUUUAAAUUUUCAAGUGGCACUAAACCUUUUCUUAUCUAUGAAGUUUCUGAGUUUUAUCUCCAGAAGUGCACCAUAAAUAGUAGCAGCACUUGACUUUAUCUUCUGCACAAAAUACAAUUCACAAUCAAAAGAAAUGAAGACCCCAAUCCCCCCUUCAUUACUUUCAUUUGCAUAUCUUAUUCUCUUCACAUUAACUUUGAAGGUACCACCUUCUUCAGCCGCUACGGACUUUGUUGAGUGCCUCAUUUUGUAGACAUCACUACGUCCGAAAUCGUUUACACACCAAACAACAGUUCAUACACAUCCAUUUUCCAAUCCUCAAUUCAAAAUCUCCGGUUCUCGUCACCCUCUACCCCUAAACCUCUAGCUAUUGUUACACCAGUCGAUGAAGCCCAAAUACAAAUAGUCCUAGGCUGUGCCAGAGAUUUUUCCGUGCAGGUUAGGGUACGAGGAAACGGUCAUGACACCGAGGGACUUUCUUACAAAUCCCCCGUCCCAUUUGUCAUUAUUGAUCUCAUGAAUUUCCGUAAUAUCACUGUUGAUGCUGUCAAUGGCACAGCCUGGGUUCAAGCUGGUGUAACUGUUUCUGAAGUGUAUUAUAGAAUUGCUGAGAAAACUAGCACUUAUGGAUUUCCAGGGGGUACUUGGUCCACAGUUGGAAUUAGUGGAUUCCUAAGUGGAGGAGGGUAUGGCAAUUUGAUACGAAAGUAUGGCCUCGGAGCCGAUAAUGUCAUUGAUAUUCGGUUCAUGGACAAAAAUGGGAAUAUAUAUACUGACAAGCAGUCUAUUGGUAAGGAUGUCUUUUGGGCCAUUAGAGGAGGAAUAGCUUCUAGCCUGGAAGAUAAAGUUAGUUCCUGUGCCUACAAUUGUAACUGUCUUUGAGGUUAAAAGGACAUUAGAACAAAACGCUACCAACCUUGUUCAUCGGUUUCAAUAUUUUUCCCCGAAUACUGAGAGAAAUCUAUAUGUAAGAGCCCGAAUGACCCCUGUGAAUUUAACUGCAGAUGGUAAGAAAAAAACUGUACUAGUUUCUUUCCAAGCCUUGUUCCUUGGUCGGGCUAAUGGACUACUACGUGUUAUGCAAAAUGGCUUUCCCGAGUUAAGUUUGGUGAAAGAAAACUGCCUAGAAAUGAGUUGCUGGGGAUGUUGGUUUCCCCAAGGGAGAGUCACUCGAGGAGUUGCUGAACAGAGAUUUUCCUCCCAAGUUAUAUUUCAAGGCGAAAUCAGAUUAUGUACAAGAGCCGAUUUCCAAGAAAGGACUAGAAGGGAUAUGGAAAAGGCUAAUCCAGCAAGAGGUAGGGGCAGCAAAGUUAGAGAUGACACCAUAUGGUGGAAAGAUGGAUACAAUCUCAGAGGCUGCAAUUCCAUUCCCACAUAGAGCUGGGAACUUGUACAUGUUGUUCCAAGGGGUGUACUGGGAAGGAAAAACGCCAGUUGUGACACAAACGAGUCGCUUGAAAUGGCUCAGAAGCUUAUCGGCAUACUUAACUCCUCAUGUUUCAAAGAAUCCUAGACGUUCUUAUGUGAACUAUAAUGAUCUUGAGUUGGGAGUAGCCAACAAAACCUAUGAAGAAGCAAGCAUUUGGGGUACUAGGUACUUCAAGAGUAAUUUCAAGAGGUUGGUUCAAGUGAAGAACAUGAUUGAUGCUGAAAAUUUCUUCUGGCACGAGCAAAGUAUUCCUCCUUUUCCCUCAGUAUCUUAGAUGUGAGAAAAAUUAUAUGCGUAGUCACUGAAGGUCUCUGGACCGAGUGGUAUUGCUCAACCCAUCAUAACCAUGAUGUUGAGAGAUCGAGCUUUGGCAUGUCAAGGUUGGGUGUGUGUGUGAGUUUCAAUGCAAGACUAAUAUAGCAA
rnacentral:lncRNA from 1 species